UACGGGGGGGGCUAGCGUUGUUCGGAAUUACUGGGCGUAAAGGGCGCGUAGGCGGUCUGCUAAGUUGGAUGUGAAAACUCUGGGCUUAACCCAGAGCCUGCAUUCAAUACUGACAGGCUAGAGUUCUGGAGGGGAUAGCGGAAUUCCUGGUGUAGCGGUGAAAUGCGCAGAUAUCAGGAGGAACACCGGUGGCGAAGGCGGGUCUCUGGGCCGAUACUGACGCUGAGGAGCGAAAGCGUGGGGAGCGAACAGG
rnacentral:rRNA from 1 species